rnacentral:rRNA from 1 species
GAUGAACGCUGGCGGCGUGCUUAACACAUGCAAGUCGAACGAAGAUGCCGGAGUGCUUGCACUUUGGCAGACUGAGUGGCGGACGGGUGAGUAACGCGUGGGUAACCUGCCUUAUACAGGGGGAUAACAGUUGGAAACGACUGCUAAUACCGCAUAAGCGCACGGUAUCGCAUGAUACAGUGUGAAAAACUCCGGUGGUAUAAGAUGGACCCGCGUCUGAUUAGCUUGUUGGUGAGGUAACGGCCCACCAAGGCGACGAUCAGUAGCCGGCCUGAGAGGGUGAACGGCCACAUUGGGACUGAGACACGGCCCAAACUCCUACGGGAGGCAGCAGUGGGGAAUAUUGCACAAUGGGGGAAACCCUGAUGCAGCGACGCCGCGUGAGUGAUGAAGUAUUUCGGUAUGUAAAACUCUAUCAGCAGGGAAGAUAAUGACGGUACCUGACUAAGAAGUACCGGCUAAAUACGUG